CAAAAGAAUAAGUCAGUACUGGUAUGUCGAAUGUGUUGAUGGUUUUCACUGUUUUUUUCCCAUUCAGAUGUGUUUUGAGAAUGUUAUUUAAUCUGUUGGUUUACAGUUUUGACAGUGUUUGUUUAGUUUUCUUCUGUUCUGUGAGUCUGGCCUACUGGAAUGCCAAAUAUUUGUACACUUACCCUCUUUCAUGGAUUCGACAGUGUCUCCAUUUUCAACAGUGGAAUCUCCUUUCUUUAGGAUUCUCUUUUCUUUGUGGAGUGUUUUGCAUUUGUCUAGGCCAAAUUCCAUGCACAUGUCUUUUGAAAAUGUGUGCAUGAUUUGUAACAGCUGUUGUUAUUGUGC
rnacentral:lncRNA from 1 species